GUGGGGAAUAUUGGACAAUGGGCGAAAGCCUGAUCCAGCAAUGCCGCGUGAGUGAAGAAGGCCUUCGGGUUGUAAAGCUCUUUUACCCGGGAAGAUAAUGACUGUACCGGGAGAAUAAGCCCCGGCUAACUCCGUGCCAGCAGCCGCGGUAAUACGGAGGGGGCUAGCGUUGUUCGGAAUUACUGGGCGUAAAGCGCACGUAGGCGGUCUUUUAAGUCAGAGGUGAAAGCCCGGGGCUCAACUCCGGAAUUGCCUUUGAAACUGGGAGACUUGAACACGGGAGAGGUGAGUGGAAUUCCGAGUGUAGAGGUGAAAUUCGUAGAUAUUCGGAGGAACACCAGUGGCGAAGGCGGCUCACUGGACCGUUGUUGACGCUGAGGUGCGAAAGCGUGGGGAGCAAACAGGAUUAGAAACCCUGGUAGUCC
rnacentral:rRNA from 1 species